GUUGUAGCCAUGGCAGCUAACGCUACUACCAACCCAUUGCAGCUGCUGCCGUUAGAGCUUGGACAAAUGUAUAGGAUCAAGAAUUCACAUUGUGAUGAAGAAUGAUAAGGAAAUUGUUGGUACUCUAGGAUUUGAUGACUUUGUCAAUAUGGUCCUGGAAGUUAUCACUAAGUUUGAAAUCACACCAAAAGGAAGAAGGAUUACUAAAUUAGAUCAGAUUAUGCUUAAUGGAAAUCAUAUAACAAUGCUGGUUCCUGGAGGAGAAGGACCUGAAGUGUGAAUGAGUUUCCUUGACUUAUGCUAGAUUCUGUUUUGUCUUAUAAUGACAAGAAAAUUGAUUUUUUUUCAUCUCCUAAUGUUUAAAUCCUAUAAAGCUAAGUUUCCUGUUAAAGGGAAGUGCUUUGAAGAUGUAUACCCAUUUUUGUAGGUUAAUCAUGAUUAUCCUGGAAAAAGAAGAGUUUCUUAUUUAAAGAUGAAAAUAAAGGUGUUUUUGGUUAACAGUCAUUUUAUUGAUUGUAUUGCAGUAGCCAGUGGAACAAAGAUUGUAGUUAUUUUCCUACUCACUUUGGUCAUUAUAUGCCUAUUUGCUUUCUCAUUUACAUGACCAUUUGAUUCUCAGACAAAGGUUGUUCCAAACAAAAUGAUGAACUUUGAUUUGAACAGGUGCAUUUAAACAACCAGAAAUGAUCACUUAGAAAAUUUAACUAAAAUGCUGUUGUUUUGUAA